AAUGAACGCUGGCGGCGUGCCUAAUACAUGCAAGUCGAACGGACAGACGAGGGGUUUGUCCUUUAUACGAUUGCGGCGCGCGGGUGAGUAAUAUGUCUAACACCCACCUUAAUGAGGGGGAAAACUUCGGGACAACGGCGAUAAUACCAGACAACAUAUUGAACCGCAUGGAUCCGUAGAGAAUGACGGUUUUGCGGUAGGUUUUAGAUGGAUCAGCGAGGUAUUAGGUGGUUGGUAUGGUAACGCCUUACCAAGGAACCGAUGCGAAGCCGACCUAAGAGUGUGACCGGCCACUCGGGAACUGGGACGCGGACCCGACUCCUACGUGAGGCAGCAGUCGGGAAUCUUCGGCAAUGGGCGGAAGCGUGUCGUAGUAACGCCGCGUGAGUGAUGAAGGUCUUCGGCUCGUAAAGCACUAUAAUUAGGGGAGAACAAAUGUCUGUUUAUCUAUACACGUCAUGACGGUACCUAAUCAAUAAGCACCGGCUAACUCCGUG
rnacentral:rRNA from 1 species